UGCGUAGGUGGCGGGGUAAGUCUGAUGUGAAAUCUCCGAGCUUAACUCGGAAACUGCAUCGGAUACUAUUUCGCUCGAGGGUUGGAGGGGGGACGUGGAAUACUUGGUGUAGCAGUGAAAUGCGUAGAUAUCAAGUGGAACACCAGUGGCGAAGGCGAGUCCCUGGACAACUCCUGACACCGAGGCACGAAAGCUAGGGGAGCAAACA
rnacentral:rRNA from 1 species